AUUGAACGCUGGCGGCAUGCCUUACACAUGCAAGUCGAACGGUAACAGGUCUUCGGAUGCUGACGAGUGGCGAACGGGUGAGUAAUACAUCGGAACGUGCCUAGUAGUGGGGGAUAACUACUCGAAAGAGUGGCUAAUACCGCAUGGGAUCUACGGAUGAAAGCAGGGGAUCGCAAGACCUUGUGCUACUAGAGCGGCCGAUGGCAGAUUAGGUAGUUGGUGGGAUAAAAGCUUACCAAGCCGACGAGCUGUAGCUGGUCUGAGAGGACGAUCAGCCACACUGGGACUGAGAAACGGCCCAGACUCCUACGGGAGGCAGCAGUGGGGAAUUUUGGACAAUGGGCGAAAGCCUGAUCCAGCAAUGCCGCGUGCAAGAUGAAGGCCUUCGGGUUGUAAACUGCUUUUGUACGGAACGAAAAGCCCCGGGUUAAUACCCUGGGGUCAUGACGGUACCGUAAGAAUAAGCACCGGCUAACUACGUGCCAGCCGCCGCAGUAA
rnacentral:rRNA from 1 species